rnacentral:rRNA from 1 species
UGCAAGUCGAACGAGACAAGGUGCUUGCACCUUUAGAAAGUGGCGAACGGGUGAGUAACGCGUGGGUAACCUGCCCUAUGGAAAGGAAUAGCCUCGGGAAACUGGGAGUAAUGCCUUAUAGUAUAUAGAGGUCGCAUGAUUUUUAUAUGAAACGCUCCGGCGCCAUAGGAUGGACCCGCGUCCCAUUAGCUGGUUGGUGAGAUAACAGCCCACCAAGGCGACGAUGGGUAACCGGUCUGAGAGGGCGAACGGUCACACUGGAACUGAGACACGGUCCAGACUCCUACGGGAGGCAGCAGUGGGGAAUAUUGCGCAAUGGGGGAAACCCUGACGCAGCAAUACCGCGUGAGUGAAGAAGGUUUUCGGAUCGUAAAGCUCUGUUAUUGGGGAAGAAAAAAAGACGGUACCCAAGAAGAAAGUCCCGGCUAACUACGUGCCAGCAGCCGCGGUAAUACGUAGGGGACAAGCGUUGUCCGGAUUUACUGGGCGUAAAGGGCACGCAGGCGGUUUUUUAAGUCAGAUGUGAAAGGUACCGGCUCAACCGGUGACAUGCAUUUGAAACUGAAAGACUUGAGUAUUGGAGA